CCAAGAUUCGCUGGCUAGUGGCUCCUGCCAGACUCCGAGCCUCGAGUCUCGGGGGGCCUCCCGGAGAGGCCACUGCUGGGGUCUUUGACCCCUUGCCCCAAGGGAGACCUACAGACCUCUUACUGAGGAAGCACCCCACUCCCUACGAGGCCCCCAUCUUCCUGCAUUUCCUCGCACUCCCAUGUGGGCCUUUAAGGAGAAAACUGCAAUGCUUUGGAGAUGCCCACAUGGCAUGGACCCAAGAGGGGCCUCUAGAAGCUGAGAGCAGCCCCCAGAUAACAGAUAGCAAGAAAAUAGGGAUCUCAAUAAUAUGGCUGCAAGAAAAUGAAUUCUGCCAACAACCUGAGGGAGCCUGGAAGACAAACUUCCCCUAUUUGAGUCUCCAGAUGAAGACACGGCUGGUCAACACCUCAGUUUCUCUCUGUGGGUCCCUAAGCAGAGAAUCCAGAUGAACUGUGCCUGGACUUCUGACUAAUAAAACUGUAGCUAAUAAAUAAGUGUUGUCUUGAGCCCUUAA